rnacentral:rRNA from 1 species
AGUGAACGCUGGCGGUAGGCCUAACACAUGCAAGUCGAACGGCAGCACAGUAAGAGCUUGCUCUUACGGGUGGCGAGUGGCGGACGGGUGAGGAAUACAUCGGAAUCUACUUUUUCGUGGGGGAUAACGUAGGGAAACUUACGCUAAUACCGCAUACGACCUACGGGUGAAAGCAGGGGAUCUUCGGACCUUGCGCGAUUGAAUGAGCCGAUGUCGGAUUAGCUAGUGGGCGGGGUAAAGGCCCACCAAGGCGACGAUCCGUAGCUGGUCUGAGAGGAUGAUCGGCCACACUGGAACUGAGACACGGUCCGGACUCCUACGGGAGCCGGCGUUGGGGAAUAUUCGACAAUGGGCGCAGGCCUGAUCCAGCCAUACCGCGUGGGUGAAGAAGGCUUUCGGUUUGUAAAGUCUGUUUGUUGGGAAAGAAAAGCAGCAGGUUAAUACCCCGCUGUUCUGACGGUACCCAAAUAAUAAGCACCGGCUAACUUCGUG